rnacentral:tRNA from 1 species
GCAUUAUUAGUAUAUUGAAUUAUUUUGUCUUUCCAAGUCAAAGGACUGAGAAAACCUCAGAUAUUGCA